GGGUUGUGAGGUUAAGCGACUAAGCGUACACGGUGGAUGCCCUGGCAGUCAGAGGCGAUGAAGGACGUGCUAAUCUGCGAUAAGCGUCGGUAAGGUGAUAUGAACCGUUAUAACCGGCGAUUUCCGAAUGGGGAAACCCAGUGUGAUUCGUCACACUAUCAUUAACUGAAUCCAUAGGUUAAUGAGGCGAACCGGGGGAACUGAAACAUCUAAGUACCCCGAGGAAAAGAAAUCAACCGAGAUUCCCCCAGUAGCGGCGAGCGAACGGGGAGCAGCCCAGAGCCUGAAUCAGUGUGUGUGUUAGUGGAAGCGUCUGGAAAGGCGUGCGAUACAGGGUGACAGCCCCGUACACAAAAAUGCACAUACUGUGAGCUCGAUGAGUAGGGCGGGACACGUGGUAUCCUGUCUGAAUAUGGGGGGACCAUCCUCCAAGGCUAAAUACUCCUGACUGACCGAUAGUGAACCAGUACCGUGAGGGAAAGGCGAAAAGAACCCCGGCGAGGGGAGUGAAAAAGAACCUGAAACCGUGUACGUACAAGCAGUGGGAGCACGCUUAGGCGUGUGACUGCGUACCUUUUGUAUAAUGGGUCAGCGACUUAUAUUCUGUAGCAAGGUUAACCGAAUAGGGGAGCCGAAGGGAAACCGAGUCUUAACUGGGCGUUAAGUUGCAGGGUAUAGACCCGAAACCCGGUGAUCUAGCCAUGGGCAGGUUGAAGGUUGGGUAACACUAACUGGAGGACCGAACCGACUAAUGUUGAAAAAUUAGCGGAUGACUUGUGGCUGGGGGUGAAAGGCCAAUCAAACCGGGAGAUAGCUGGUUCUCCCCGAAAGCUAUUUAGGUAGCGCCUCGUGAAUUCAUCUCCGGGGGUAGAGCACUGUUUCGGCAAGGGGGUCAUCCCGACUUACCAACCCGAUGCAAACUGCGAAUACCGGAGAAUGUUAUCACGGGAGACACACGGCGGGUGCUAACGUCCGUCGUGAAGAGGGAAACAACCCAGACCGCCAGCUAAGGUCCCAAAGUCAUGGUUAAGUGGGAAACGAUGUGGGAAGGCCCAGACAGCCAGGAUGUUGGCUUAGAAGCAGCCAUCAUUUAAAGAAAGCGUAAUAGCUCACUGGUCGAGUCGGCCUGCGCGGAAGAUGUAACGGGGCUAAACCAUGCACCGAAGCUGCGGCAGCGACGCUUAUGCGUUGUUGGGUAGGGGAGCGUUCUGUAAGCCUGUGAAGGUGUGUUGUGAGGUAUGCUGGAGGUAUCAGAAGUGCGAAUGCUGACAUAAGUAACGAUAAAGCGGGUGAAAAGCCCGCUCGCCGGAAGACCAAGGGUUCCUGUCCAACGUUAAUCGGGGCAGGGUGAGUCGACCCCUAAGGCGAGGCCGAAAGGCGUAGUCGAUGGGAAACAGGUUAAUAUUCCUGUACUUGGUGUUACUGCGAAGGGGGGACGGAGAAGGCUAUGUUGGCCGGGCGACGGUUGUCCCGGUUUAAGCGUGUAGGCUGGUUUUCCAGGCAAAUCCGGAAAAUCAAGGCCGAGGCGUGAUGACGAGGCACUACGGUGCUGAAGCAACAAAUGCCCUGCUUCCAGGAAAAGCCUCUAAGCAUCAGGUAACAUCAAAUCGUACCCCAAACCGACACAGGUGGUCAGGUAGAGAAUACCAAGGCGCUUGAGAGAACUCGGGUGAAGGAACUAGGCAAAAUGGUGCCGUAACUUCGGGAGAAGGCACGCUGAUACGUAGGUGAAGCGACUUGCUCGUGGAGCUGAAAUCAGUCGAAGAUACCAGCUGGCUGCAACUGUUUAUUAAAAACACAGCACUGUGCAAACACGAAAGUGGACGUAUACGGUGUGACGCCUGCCCGGUGCCGGAAGGUUAAUUGAUGGGGUUAGCGCAAGCGAAGCUCUUGAUCGAAGCCCCGGUAAACGGCGGCCGUAACUAUAACGGUCCUAAGGUAGCGAAAUUCCUUGUCGGGUAAGUUCCGACCUGCACGAAUGGCGUAAUGAUGGCCAGGCUGUCUCCACCCGAGACUCAGUGAAAUUGAACUCGCUGUGAAGAUGCAGUGUACCCGCGGCAAGACGGAAAGACCCCGUGAACCUUUACUAUAGCUUGACACUGAACAUUGAGCCUUGAUGUGUAGGAUAGGUGGGAGGCUUUGAAGUGUGGACGCCAGUCUGCAUGGAGCCGACCUUGAAAUACCACCCUUUAAUGUUUGAUGUUCUAACGUGGACCCGUGAUCCGGGUUGCGGACAGUGUCUGGUGGGUAGUUUGACUGGGGCGGUCUCCUCCUAAAGAGUAACGGAGGAGCACGAAGGUUGGCUAAUCCUGGUCGGACAUCAGGAGGUUAGUGCAAUGGCAUAAGCCAGCUUGACUGCGAGCGUGACGGCGCGAGCAGGUGCGAAAGCAGGUCAUAGUGAUCCGGUGGUUCUGAAUGGAAGGGCCAUCGCUCAACGGAUAAAAGGUACUCCGGGGAUAACAGGCUGAUACCGCCCAAGAGUUCAUAUCGACGGCGGUGUUUGGCACCUCGAUGUCGGCUCAUCACAUCCUGGGGCUGAAGUAGGUCCCAAGGGUAUGGCUGUUCGCCAUUUAAAGUGGUACGCGAGCUGGGUUUAGAACGUCGUGAGACAGUUCGGUCCCUAUCUGCCGUGGGCGCUGGAGAACUGAGGGGGGCUGCUCCUAGUACGAGAGGACCGGAGUGGACGCAUCACUGGUGUUCGGGUUGUCAUGCCAAUGGCACUGCCCGGUAGCUAAAUGCGGAAGAGAUAAGUGCUGAAAGCAUCUAAGCACGAAACUUGCCCCGAGAUGAGUUCUCCCUGACCCUUUAAGGGUCCUGAAGGAACGUUGAAGACGACGACGUUGAUAGGCCGGGUGUGUAAGCGCAGCGAUGCGUUGAGCUAACCGGUACUAAUGAACCGUGAGGCUUAACCUUACAACGCCGAAG
rnacentral:rRNA from 1 species